rnacentral:rRNA from 1 species
UUCUAGCUUGCUAGAAGAUGACGAGUGGCGGACGGGUGAGUAAUGCUUGGGAACUUGCCUUUGCGAGGGGGAUAACAGUUGGAAACGACUGCUAAUACCGCAUAAUGUCUUCGGACCAAACGGGGCUUCGGCUCCGGCGCAAAGAGAGGCCCAAGUGAGAUUAGCUAGUUGGUAAGGUAACGGCUUACCAAGGCGACGAUCUCUAGCUGUUCUGAGAGGAAGAUCAGCCACACUGGGACUGAGACACGGCCCAGACUCCUACGGGAGGCAGCAGUGGGGAAUAUUGCACAAUGGGGGAAACCCUGAUGCAGCCAUGCCGCGUGUGUGAAGAAGGCCUUCGGGUUGUAAAGCACUUUCAGUUGUGAGGAAAAGUUAGUAGUUAAUACCUGCUAGCCGUGACGUUAACAACAGAAGAAGCACCGGCUAACUCCGUGCCAGCAGCCGCGGUAAUACGGAGGGUGCGAGCGUUAAUCGGAAUUGCUGGGCGUAAAGCGCACGCAGGCGGUUUGUUAAGCUAGAUGUGAAAGCCCCGGGCUCAACCUGGGAUGGUCAUUUAGAACUGGCAGACUAGAGUCUUGGAGAGGGGAGUGGAAUUCCAGGUGUAGCGGUGAAAUGCGUAGAUAUCUGGAGGAACAUCAGUGGCGAAGGCGACUCCCUGGCCAAAGACUGACGCUCAUGUGCGAAAGUGUGGGUAGCGAACAGGAUUAGAUACCCUGGUAGUCCACACCGUAAACGCUGUCUACUAGCUGUGUGUGCCUUUAAGGCGUGCGUAGCGAAGCUAACGCGCUAAGUAGACCGCCUGGGGAGUACGGCCGCAAGGUUAAAACUCAAAUGAAUUGACGGGGGCCCGCACAA